GGAGAGGUGCGAGAGUGGCCGAAUCGGGCGGUCUCGAAAACCGCUGUCCGGGCAACUGGACCGUGGGUUCGAAUCCCACCCUCUCCGCCA
rnacentral:tRNA from 2 species